UGCCCCUCACUUGCCAAUACGUCUAGAUCAGCCAGGGCGUCGGCAUGUGUAGCGUAUUAUGUUGGGCUCUCUCGAGAUAAGGAUACGAUGUCCCUUUAUCGGUUGGUUUCCUGUGUGUGCGGCCCGUUCGUUUUUUUUGUUACUUUCGCAUCGUUCGGUGCAUUCUGGGGGCUGUGUUGGCUUUUGGUGGCUUGCUUGGCCUUUUGGCUUUGCUUGUUGCUACUUGUCGGGCUGCUUUCGGGAAUGUCGACCGUGGAGGUGCAUGAGUGGUGUUUGGUUCGUUACGUGUGGAUGGCUGUUUGCUUGUGCAACAACGUUCACGCUGCAUACCUCUUCAGUUUUGCGGCAAGGCUUGGUUUGGCUUGUGCAUAUUGUGGGUUUCCUGUGUUGCAUACCUAGUUGAUGGAAAAGUGUGGGUUUUACGAUUUUCAUUUUCGUCUUGCGUCGUUCUUUUGGCGUGGGAUGAACAAUGAAGCGAUCUUUAUGAUCCAUCGUGCUGUUGCGUUUGCAACAAUGAUGUGGCCUAUGAAGCAUCGUUUGGUCUCUUGUAUACGGAAGCUCAUUUGGGCUUGGGUCUUUAUAAGAUCUUCGUUACGCCCUUGUUAAGCGUUCUCGCUUCUCCUAAACGAUUG
rnacentral:misc_RNA from 1 species